rnacentral:rRNA from 1 species
AACGAACGCUGGCGGCGCGCCUAAUACAUGCAAGUCGAGCGAGAAGACGUAGCAAUACGUUUGUAAAGCGGCGAACGGGUGAGGAAUGCAUGGGUAACCUACCCUCGAGUGGGGAAUAACUAGCCGAAAGGUUAGCUAAUACCGCGUACGCUCCUUGGACUUCGGUUCAGGGAGGAAAGCGAUACCGUGGGUAUCGCGCUCUUGGAUGGGCUCAUGUCCUAUCAGCUUGUUGGUGAGGUAACGGCUCACCAAGGCUUCGACGGGUAGCUGGUCUGAGAGGACGAUCAGCCACACUGGCACUGCGACACGGGCCAGACUCCUACGGAGGCAGCAGUAAGGAAUAUUGCGCAAUGGGCGAAAGCCUGACGCAGCGACGCCGCGUGGGGGAUGAAGGUCUUCGGAUUGUAAGCCCCUUUCGGGAGGGAAGAUGGAACGAGCAAUCGUUCGGACGGUACCUCCAGAAGCAGCCACGGCUAACUUCGUG